rnacentral:rRNA from 1 species
UGGGGAAUUUUGCGCAAUGGGGGCAACCCUGACGCAGCAACGCCGCGUGCGGGACGACGGCCUUCGGGUUGUAAACCGCUUUCAGCAGGGAAGAAAUUCGACGGUACCUGCAGAAGAAGCUCCGGCUAACUACGUGCCAGCAGCCGCGGUAAUACGUAGGGAGCGAGCGUUAUCCGGAUUCAUUGGGCGUAAAGAGCGCGUAGGCGGCCUCUCAAGCGGGAUCUCUAAUCCGAGGGCUCAACCCCCGGCCGGAUCCCGAACUGGGAGGCUCGAGUUCGGUAGAGGAAGGCGGAAUUCCCGGUGUAGCGGUGGAAUGCGCAGAUAUCGGGAAGAACACCGAUGGCGAAGGCAGCCUGCUGGGCCGCAACUGACGCUGAGGCGCGAAAGCUAGGGGAGCGAACAGG